AAGUAAAUGUUUAAAAUGAUAUUGCUAGAGACAGGAGAACUAAAGGAGUCACUAGACAAAGUCAGGACUGUAUAAACUUAAAAAAAAAAUUAGUCUCAUUCUUUAGCAGGAUAUUGACAAGAGCUGCUGUCAUAUGGAAACUAUUUUUUUUUUAAACACCUGGCAGGACUAAUUUGGGGGAUUAAUUUCUUUUUUCAUGCGGAUUCAACACACAACAAACUACAAGACCAGCCUGGCUGCGUGCGACCAUGAGACAGACUUGUAGCUCCUGAGAAGAUGGAAAUAGGAGAGUUCAGGGAACGAGCACGGUAGACGUGAUUGCUCUGGUCACUGUCUGAACCUGUGGAGGAGACCAUCAGUCUUCCCCGGAGACCAGAGCACAGGAGACCUCACACUAUGGCUGCUUCUCCAUUUGAUUCCAUCUACUAGAUGGGAUGAUGCAUAGCUAUUUCAGUAUUUUGAGGUCCUAUAUGCAGCUUCUAUCUCCUCCUUUAUCAGGGAACUGCCUAUAGCAUCACCUGGAUAUUCAGCAGGCACUGCUAACUUAGGAGCCAAGGCUGUAGGUGUGUACCAUGGGGCUUUGAGAGAGAAAAAGCAGACGUUCCCCAGAUGUCAUUGCCAAGGCACCAGCCAUAUUUGUGGUGUUAUGGAUAUGGCCCCAAGAUGGCACGAGCUUCCAGUUGUCAGAGACAGCCCACUGGCUCUCGUUACUGAAGCUGCCACCAGCAUUUUACAGCUUCCUCCUGCCAGCCACUGGCCUGGGAAAGUUCAAAUCAGUGGAAAGAAGCUGGAGCAAGUGAACUAUUCAGAGAGCCUGGGAAUACAUCCCAGCCCUCUUUGCUCUAUGGUCCCAACUUGGCCCUGUGGCCAUUUUGCAGAUCUAUCCUGCAGGAGGUAAGCUGAGGAAGAGAUGGACUGGCUCACAGACCUUGAAUACUUUUUUUAGCAAACAGUUGUUGAGGGCCAGGCACUGGUAAGUGCUGAUGGGUGAAGAGAGAGCCUGAAAGCCAAUCCUGUGGAUCUUAUUUAUUGACUUGGUUCUUUAUCAUCUGCCCCUGCCAACAGAAUGUAAGCACCACAGGGGCAGGGAUUUUGUCUAGUAUGUUCCUUAAUGUAUCCUCAGAUCAUGGCACACUGACACUCCAUGACAAAUAUGUGUUGAGUAAAGGAAUGAAGGAUUCUUUCCUAAUUAUUGAAUAUUGUACACAAAGCAUGUAUCCUGAAGGCCCUUGACUACAAAUCUGCCUCCAGAAGAACCAGAAAUAUUGAUGUAGGAAACACAUUAAUUCAUUGAUUCAAUGAUGCUCAGCAACUCCCUUCCUUCUUACUAUCCUUCUCCUUCUCUCCUUUCCUUUCUUUUCUUUGCCCUGUCCUCCUCCUCUCCUUCCUCCCUUCUGUCAUUCCUUCACCUGCUUACUUUUUCUUUCAUCUAAUAGUCACUGGGCACACGAGUAACAAGGCACUCUGAAGUGUACAUGGAUGAGACACAAUCUUAAAGACAUUUGUCUUUGCUCAUCCAGUGUGUUUGAAAGAAACAGGGGCCUCUAUACUGUGUGAAGGAUGGAAGUUUAUUGGUGCUUGAAGAAUUUGUUGAAAGAUGGGAUUGAAACUAGAGAUACAAGUUGAACGAAGGCAGUUUAUAGCAAUGUCCUGAAAAUCACCCAAGGGAAAAAAAUGUAAGAAGGGAAGAUAUAAUCUUACUGUGAUAUUUUUAUGGUAAGAAUAUUUCCUGGACUAAGUCACAGGUUCAGAAUACACAACACAAAUCCAUUCUAUUGAAAAGCCAAACUAAAUUCUUUUUGAACAUGAAGAUCUGAUGUCAGCAGGUAAUAAUACAAGCCUUUUGGGGUCUAGGGUAGCCAGCAUAGAGUAGAUUGGUCUAAAGCAGGGGUUAACAAAUUAUGGGCCACAGACCAAGUGUGGCUUACUAUCUGUUUUUAUAUAAAUAAGUUUCAUUAGUAGGCAGUGAUAAGUUUCAUUGUUUCAUGAAUCACUUCUGGUUGUCUUCAUACUGCAGCAGCAGAGUUGAGUAGUUGUGACAGAGACCAUAUGGCCUGCAAAGCCAAAAACACCUAUUAUCUGGCCUUAUAGAGAAAGUUUGCUGACCUCUGGUCUAAAGGAAAGAUGUUCUGAUGCCAAAUGAGAUCCUUUAGAAAAGAAAACACUCCUCACAUUCAGUUUGGUACAUUUAUGUUUAUACACCUGCUUUCCCUAUCAGUGAAAGGCAGCCAACUGUUCAUAUCAUUACAUCAUCAGCCCCCAAUAUGUUAUUGUUCCCUGUAACGCUUUCUGCAAUAUGGCCACUAAAUUAAUGAUCUGAGAUAAUUUCCCGCAAACUAAAUUGUUGAACGAUCAAAGUAUUUUCACUCUAGGUUUCCUAUUGCGCUGCCCUUUUGCUCACUCAUGCCAGAGCUGGAUAAAACACUCAUAUCACCUCAUGUUUAUCUUGAGGCUUGACUUGGCAUACAGCAGCCGUAUAACUGACGAUUUCUUCACCUGUGCUUGUUUUGUGGUUACUGGUCUCAAAAUGCCCAUAAACUUGAUUAAACUUGUCCCUUCUAUGCCUUCUCAUUUUGCAUGUGGAUUGUUUAUGAUUUUGAGUUAUGUAAUUCUUGGUUUCUCAAUAAAGUAAU